UAGUUUGAUCAUGGCUCAGGAUGAACGCUGGCGGUAUGCCUAACACAUGCAAGUCGUACGAGAGUUUUUAACUCUAGUGGCGGACGGGUGAGUAACACGUGAGAAUUUGCCUUUAGGAGGGGGAUAACAAUUGGAAACGAAUGCUAAUACCCCAUAUGCUUUCGAGUGAAAUGGAUUUAUAUUUAUCCGCCUAGAGAGAAGCUCGCGGCUGAUUAGCUUGUUGGUAAGGUAAGAGCUUACCAAGGCGACGAUCAGUAUCUGGUUUGAGAGGACGAUCAGACACACUGGAACUGAGACACGGUCCAGACUCCUACGGGAGGCAGCAGUGGGGAAUUUUCCGCAAUGGGCGAAAGCCUGACGGAGCAAUACCGCGUGAGGGAAGACUGCCUAUGGGUUGUAAACCUCUUUUUUCAGGGAGGAAUCAAUGACGUGUACCUGAAGAAUAAGCAUCGGCUAACUCCGUGCCAGCAGCCGCGGUAAGACGGAGGAUGCAAGUGUUAUCCGGAAUCACUGGGCGUAAAGCGUCUGUAGGUGGUUUAAUAAGUCAACUGUUAAAUCUUGAGGCUCAACUUCAAAAUCGCAGUCGAAACUAUUAGACUAGAGUAUAGUAGAGGUAAAGGGAAUUUCCAGUGGAGCGGUGAAAUGCGUAGAUAUUGGAAAGAACACCGAUGGCGAAAGCACUUUACUGGGCUAUUACU
rnacentral:rRNA from 1 species